AAAAGUCGUAACAAGGUUUCCGUAGGUGAACCUGCGGAAGGAUCAUUAUUGAAAUAAACCUGAUGAGUUGUUGCUGGUUCUCUAGAGAGCAUUGUGCACGCUUGUCAUCUUUAUGUCUCCACCUGUGCACAUUUUGUAGACCUGGAUCACUCUCUAAAGUUGGAGGAAUUUGACUUUGUUGUCUUUCCUUGCAUUUCUAGGUCUAUGUUCUUUUUCAUAUAAUCUUAUUGUGAUAUAAUGGACCCUAUAUAAUAUAAACCUAUACAACUUUCAGCAACGGAUCUCUUGGCUCUCGCAUCGAUGAAGAACGCAGCGAAAUGCGAUAAGUAAUGUGAAUUGCAGAAUUCAGUGAAUCAUCGAAUCUUUGAACGCACCUUGCGCUCCUUGGUAUUCCGAGGAGCAUGCCUGUUUGAGUGUCAUUAAUAUAUCAACCUCUUUAAAUUUUGAGAGUGUUUGGAUGUGGGGGGUGUUAUUUUGCUGGCCUUCUCCAAGGUCAGCUCCCCUGAAAUGUAUUAGCGGAACAAUUUGUUGACCGUUCAUUGGUGUGAUAGCAUAUCUACGCUAUUGACGUGAAGCAAGUUCAGCUUAUAACAGUCCAUUGACUUGGACAAUUCUCUAUUUAUUAAUGUGACCUCAAAUCAGGUAGGACUACCCGCUGAACUUAA
rnacentral:rRNA from 1 species